GAUGAACGCUGGCGGCGUGCUUAACACAUGCAAGUCGAGCGAAGCGCUUUGGUUAGAUUCUUCGGAUGAAGACCUUUGUGACUGAGCGGCGGACGGGUGAGUAACGCGUGGGUAACCUGCCUCAUACAGGGGGAUAACAGUUAGAAAUGACUGCUAAUACCGCAUAAGACCACAGUACCGCAUGGUACAGGGGGUAAAAACUCCGGUGGUGUGAGAUGGACCCGCGUUGGAUUAGCCAGUUGGCAGGGUAACGCCUACCAAAGCGACGAUCCAUAGCCGGACUGAGAGGUUGGCCGGCACAUUGGGACUGAGACACGGGCCCAGGACUCCUACGGGAGGCAGCAGUGGGGAAUA
rnacentral:rRNA from 1 species